AAAACCAAGACGAACGCUGGCGGCGUGCUUAACACAUGCAAGUCGAGCGGUAAGGCCUUUCGGGGUACACGAGCGGCGAACGGGUGAGUAACACGUGGGUGAUCUGCCCUGCACUUCGGGAUAAGCCUGGGAAACUGGGUCUAAUACCGGAUAUGACCUCCUAUCGCAUGGUGGGUGGUGGAAAGAUUUAUCGGUGCAGGAUGGGCCCGCGGCCUAUCAGCUUGUUGGUGGGGUAAUGGCCUACCAAGGCGACGACGGGUAGCCGACCUGAGAGGGUGACCGGCCACACUGGGACUGAGACACGGCCCAG
rnacentral:rRNA from 1 species